rnacentral:misc_RNA from 1 species
GAUGAAGAACGUAGCGAAAUGCGAUAAGUAAUGUGAAUUGCAGAAUUCAGUGAAUCAUCGAAUCUUUGAACGCACCUUGCGCCCUUUGGCCAUUCCGAAGGGCAUGCCUGUUUGAGUAUCAUGAACACCUCAACUCUCAUGGCUCGCCAUGAUGAGCUUGGACUUUGGGGGUCUUGCUGGCCUGUGGUCGGCUCCUCUCAAAUGGAUCAGCUUGCCAGUGUUUGGUGGCAUCACAGGUGUGAUAACUAUCUGCGCUUGUGGUUUUCCAUCAGAUAACCUUCAGUGAUGGAGGUUCGCUGGAGCUCAUAAACGUCUCCCCUAAGCGGGGACAGCCCUUUGAAUGUUUGAUCUCAAAUCAGGUAGGACUACCCGCUGAACUUAAGCAUAUCCAAUAAGCGGAGGA